rnacentral:lncRNA from 1 species
GGAAUACUGACCUUGCUUGCGUACGGGCAUGUUGUUCCUCAAUUAUAGAUAGAUCCGUCCACACUAACUGCUUCCCUUAAUUAGUAAUACUAGCAGAGGUGGUGGCGGCGGUCAAAGGUUUGUUUUUCCCUUUCUUUCUUUAUAUAUUUUUGCCAACGAUCAGCGAAAUAUCUAUAUGUUAAGGGGUGAGUAUAUAUACAUAUAGAUGUGUAUAUAUAUAUAUAUAUUUAUAGAUUGUUUUGUGUAUAUAUAUAUAUAUAUAUGUAUGUGUGAGUGGUGUGUGAUAUGUACAGAAGCUCCGGUUUGAGGUUUGUAAUCCUUGCAGUGGUGACGGUGGUGGAGGAGGAGGUGGUGGUGGUGGCGGUAGUCGCAGUCUCGUUGAAGCGGGUCGAAGGUAGGUUUGGUGACACCAAGACAGCGGAGUAGCAGGAAAGAGAGGGAACGGGCAGAGGAAGAGAGAGAGAGAUAGAGGAAGGAAGGGAGACGGAGUGGAAUAGAGGGGGGAGGGAAACAACAACUUAGAGAGGGAGGAAGGAAUUAAAAGAAGAAGAAGAAGAAGAAGAAAAAGGGGAAAUAAAGAGCAAAAGGCAUUUACACAGAAUAUAGAGAGAGAGACAGACAGAUACAUGGAAUGAUAUAUUGAUAUAGAAAGAAGAUAUAUAGUGAUACAUAUACACACACACGGUGUGUAAGAGGGAGUGAGAGAAAGAAUAUGAAAGAUAAAAAGUGAAACAAGAUAAUGAAAGGGAAGACGAAGAGAAAGAGAAGUGAAUGGGAGAAAGUUUGAGUGAAGUAACAGAUUGUGAUUAGAUGUGAAAAAGUGAAAUGUUGGUUUAUGGGGACAGAAGAAUUAAAGGUGGGAAAAGGAUAACCUAUCACUGCAAGGAACAUUUAAUAAACUGUUGUGUAUAUACAUAUAUAUAUAAAUAUAUAUAUUAUUGUGUUGUUGUUCGUACGAACAAAAAUUACACUAACAGACUGUUAUAUUUAUUGUAUAUUUUUCGUUUACAAGUUGGGAACAGGAUCAGUUCAAAACUGAAACAAAUUAAAAUAUAAAAUAUGUUAUCCGGUCAAGAGCAGAUACCGAUACACGACCCCCACCACUUACAAACUGGCUUACUUUUGUUCCUUUCUCACCUUCUUUCACCUUAUUAUCAACGAUUAUAUAAAUCUACCCACUUCUCUACAUACCUAUGUAUUAAAAUACCUAUCAAUUUAUUUAUUCAAAUGUAUGUAUAACAACGGAUACAUUUAUGUCUACCCGUCUGUCUCUCAGUCAUCUGCCCAUUCAUUUAUUAAUCCAAGCCUCGCUUCUUCAUUCAUUCAAUAUUUCACUUGAUUUUCCUUCAUUAAACUAUUUAUACACACAUAGAUCCGUAUACAAUGACACAAUACCAGAAAAUAUAUUCGCUUUCUUUAAUGAAAUGUUUUUUGCUUUCUUUGAAAGAAAAAUAAAUUUAACAAAAUAUUAUUGUUUGGUUAUAGAGUGCUUAAGAUUUACGCCUUUAAAAGUUAUAGUUUAAUUGUGAACAGUAUUUAAUUAGCAAUAACAAUAAUUAUAAUAUUUAACAAACAUCGAUGUUCUCCAAUAAAGUGGACAACGCAAAGUGAAAAUGCGGUCAAAACGUUAUAAUUUUUAGCGACGUAGGAGGCCAAGUUGCGUAUUCGAGUGAAUCAACUCCUCUCUCUCUCGCUAUAUGUAUGUGUAUAUAUAUAUAUAUAUAGUAUAUACAUAUAUAAUAUAUAUACAUAUAUUAUAUAUACAUAUAUUUUAUAUAUAUGUAUAUACAGAGCCACACACGAGUGUAUAUAUAAAUGUAUGUAUGUGCAAUGUGAUUGUCUUGUCGCAGUAUGGCAUUGACCGCAUUAGAACGAAAGUGUGGUGUUGUGUGAGGAAGGGGGGGGUAGUGCGUGUUUUUGUUGAUAGAAGCGGCCUCAAGUAAUAGGCCAAAACAUGGCGCCAUGCAGUAACUAUAAUGUCGGUUAUCACGUGGUCCUUCUCUCUCACACUCACUCUCUCUUUCUCUCUCCAUCUCUCUCUUUUUCUGUCUUCCUCUCAUACUUACUCUCUCUUUAUUUCUCCCUUUCUCUCUCUCACACUCACUCUCUCUCUUUUCCUGUCUUCCCCUCUCACACUCACUCACUCUCUCUCUUUUCCUGUCUCUCCCUCUCUCACACUUAAAUAUUGUCGCUGACAAAAGUAGCUAAAGUGAUGACUACACAGAGAGAGAGAGAGAGAGAGAGGAGAUCGAUUGAAAAAGAAGCAGACAGCGCAUAGAUUGCGAUGGAGCUGCUGCUAGGUGGUCGCUCGUCAAUGCUAGUAACAUCAGUCAAGUCUCUCUCAAAUUUCAUCCAACCCUGUCUUGAAAAGGCACGUGAGAUAAUGUACUCCUAGAUAUACAAAAAGGUGUGAUGGUCAUAGGUGGAAUGUUUUGUGUCUUCCGAAACUGAUCUGAACUUUACAACGAAUGAAAGAAAUAGAUUAUUAAAAAUUAUGGAAUAGAGAUAGGUUUAAUGGUUUAAGAGAAUUACACUCUUGUGUAUGUCGAAGAGUGUGUUGAGAAAAAGGGAUUCAAUAUUUAGUCCUUUAACGAUGUGGAGCCCUUUAAUGUGUUAAUUCAUAUACAUUCCUUCUCUGAGACAUGUUAUGACAGUUUUCGCUGUUCUGUUUUUUUCCCCCUCUCUCUCUUGUGUUCGAUUUGUUUUACGAAUAACAAGCAAUACCAUAUUACUAUGAAUCAGAUAUGUAUGACAUCACUUUCUCCACUUAUGAUUGUAUAUGUAACACAUGAUACUUUGAGAAUUCAAUGUCUGGAUAGUUAGUCCAAUACAUAUAGUAUAUAUAGAUAUAAUUAGAGCACAGUGACAUGAAACUAGAGUCAUGAGACAGAAUUCAAUUCAUAUAUGUGUGUGUGUGUUUAAUUAUUUCAAGUCUUCCUGCAAGGAAGGAAGUGGUUUUUGAACAAAGAUAUAAAACUCCAUAGUUGGAAAGUAGAGAACAAAAUUAAAUCCACGCAUUGAACUUGAGAAAAAUUUUGCAUACAGAAUGUAUUUGUAACGUGUAUGUUAGCUUGUUGGUUUCUUUUUUCUGAAAACCCUAACUUUUCCAAACUGUCACUUAGGCAUGUGUGUGUGUGUGUGUGUGUGCAAUCACAGAUACACAUGAUGGAAGUCUGCACAUUAUGAGUAUGACCCUUGCUUGUUAAUGAGCAGCAACAUGAGUGGAGGCGCAAUGGCCCAAUGGUUAGGGCAGCGGACUUGCGGUCGGAGGAUCGCGGUUUCGAUUCUCAGACUGGGCGUUGUGUGUGUUUAUUGAGCGAAAACACCUAAAGCUCUUCGAGGUUCUGGCAGGGAGUGGUUGCGACCCCUGUUGUACUCUUUCGCUCCAACUUUUUCUCACUCUUUCUUCCUGUUUCUUGUCCUUGACUUCCUACGCAACCGCUGAGCCUGGAUGCGCAUUCAUCCAUCCGUCAAUGCUCUCGGUGUCGGGGGUUGACCUGCUUACGAAUAGCAAAGGACCACGUUUCGGACUUCUCCCACGAAGACCGCUUCGCUCAACAGCAACAGCUGCAACAUGAAGCUUUUACCAAGACUUACAUAAAUGUCUCUUCUAAGUUAAAUACAAUGCAAAAUCAUGACAUUUGCAUUAUGUGCAGAUCUGAGAAUACCUCUUCAGAGCAUCAAUAGAAACAUAAUAUUUGUUAGAUAUUUGUUCUUUCGGGUGUCAAAGGUUGCUUUUGUUUGAGUUUUGUUAAAUAGCGAAAAGUUUCAACAUUUGGAGGGUCUACAGUCAUCUAAGGGAUUCCUUUUUUUGCAUUUCAUUUCAGUGUUGUGUGUUUAUACAGUUGGAAAUAUAUGGAUGCACUGAAUAUAUUAUUUUUUCCUUAUAAUCUCUGUAGUGCAUACAUUAUUUUUCUUCAGUAGUCUUACCAAUUGCAAUUAUUUCUAGUUUGUUUUUUUUUAAUCAUAUAAUUUUUUUUCUUUUUUCAGAUCAGAUUUAUGAAAGUUCUUCAAUCUUAAUUUUGGUGUGUCAGGCCUUUUCUCAGAACAUUGUUCUGCAUAGAAUAGGUACUUUGGAAUUCUCCUAUCUUCCAUACAAAUUGCACAGCCUGCUUACCUCAGUUUGCUAUGUCACAAGAGAGCCCCUAUGCUUACAACAUUUGCGAACUCCAAGGAUUCAACAUCACUCACAUUGUUUCCCCAAGAUUUGGAAAGAUUUAUCAAAGAUGCUUUUACUUUGAUAAGGCAUCGUUUAAAUGAUUUUGGUCUUUUAUUACUACAACCUGAC